rnacentral:rRNA from 1 species
UACGGGGGGGCAAGGCGUUGUUCGGUAAUUCGACUGGGCGUAAAGGGCUUGUAGGUGGCCAACUAAGUCAGACGUGGAAAUCCCUACGGCUUAACCGGGGAACUGCGUCUGAUACUGGAUGGCUUGAGUGUGGGAGAGGGAUGCGGAAUUCCUAGUGUAGCGGUGAAAUGCGUAGAGAUUAGGAAGAACACCAGUGGCGAAGGCGACUUACUGGACGUGUAACUGACGCUGAGGCAUGAAAGCGUGGGGAGCAAACAGG